UUAUACACAACGGACUUCAACCAUUUCUUAAAAAAUCAAAAUUUUUUGUGCCUAAUACACUAAUAUAUA
rnacentral:tRNA from 1 species